GACGAACGCUGGCGGCGUGCCUAAUACAUGCAAGUAGAACGCUGAAGAGAGGAGCUUGCUCUUCUUGGAUGAGUUGCGAACGGGUGAGUAACGCGUAGGUAACCUGCCUUGUAGCGGGGGAUAACUAUUGGAAACGAUAGCUAAUACCGCAUAACAAUGGAUGACCCAUGUCAUUUAUUUGAAAGGGGCAAAUGCUCCACUACAAGAUGGACCUGCGUUGUAUUAGCUAGUAGGUGAGGUAACGGCUCACCUAGGCGACGAUACAUAGCCGACCUGAGAGGGUGAUCGGCCACACUGGGACUGAGACACGGCCCAGACUCCUACGGGAGGCAGCAGUAGGGAAUCUUCGGCAAUGGGGGCAACCCUGACCGAGCAACGCCGCGUGAGUGAAGAAGGUUUUCGGAUCGUAAAGCUCUGUUGUAAGUCAAGAACGAGUGUGAGAGUGGAAAGUUCACACUGUGACGGUAGCUUACCAGAAAGAGACGGCUAACUACGUG
rnacentral:rRNA from 1 species